UUAAAACUCUCACUUCGUUUCUGAUUUUUGGAGUGGUUACAAGCCAAAGCUUUCAUAAAAUGAUUAAAUACAUUUUCUUUACAAUAACUUUCCUCAUAUUUGCUUCCGUUUGUCAUGGUCAAGGCAAUGAAAAAUGCGAUUCUCCUCCUAGUGAGACGGGUCUCUGCAGAGGAUAUUUUCCAAGUUACACUUACCAGUCGCUAUCGAACACAUGCGAAUAUUUUGUAUACGGAGGUUGCGGCGCCACGGAAAAUAUUUUCCGAACCAUAGAGGACUGCAUACAAACGUGUGUAAAGAAUUGAAUCGUGGAUAAGCCUAAAUAAAUAACAAAUAAAAUCCAUUUAUAUUA